ensembl:lncRNA uncharacterized LOC115012353
GCACACUUGCGCAAUCGCAGGGAGAGCCGCGGAAUUGGAAAGUCUCGUUUUCUCACCCUGCUUACACGCAGCGAAGGAGGGGGCGUGAGUAUGAGGAGGCAAAAGGGAAAUCCAUGACUUCCGCGUUUUCCUCCGUGUCCGAAACUGUGUGCACAUUAGCCUUACUGUAGUAUAAAAAGCCAUCAUGGUGCUCACAGACGUUCACAUCUCACAUUAAGACACGGACUGGACUUUGUGCUAUCAAGAGGACUAUCUUUGUGGAGCAAAACAACCGAACACCUGUAGCUGCACAACUUCCAAAGUCUUUUUUUCGCUAAAUAAACUGGACGGAGUGCGGUCUGCCUGAAGCUCAGGCAUUUUACAGCCGAUUAAUGGAACACCAAAAUAAAGAGAUGGACGUUGAGUCUUUCCAGAAGAGCGGCCGCCGCCGUGGAAGCUGCCUUAAUGUUUUUCUCGUCAUGUCGAUCAUUUUUCUGCUUGUGGCGGUGACCGCUUUGGCAGCAGGCGGAGUGAUGGUUGUGAUGGAGCUGCGGUCCAAACUGGAGUCCCCGCGUCCGUCUUUUGAGUUUAAGGAAUCAAGGCUGACAGAAGACACACCUGACCCAGCAUACAAGAUGCAGAACUUUGCCUAUCUGGAAGCCAUCUCAAGCGACUUGCAGACCUCCACCAUGCAGUGGACUCCAGUCUCCUACGGUGCUGGGAAGUCUUUGGGAAGCAACUUCUUGUUUGACGCAGUGCAGCAAACGCUGAAGGCCAAACGGGUGGGGACCUACUUCAUAUACAUCGAUCUCAACCUCACCUGCACCUACAACUGCAACGCGGGACUCCUCAGCGUGCAUGUGGGCGAUAAGCUCAACUGCGAGGUGGAGCUUCCGGCUAUGGCAGAUACAACACCUGUGAGCAAGAAAUGCUGGACAGUGAGCCGGAUGGAAGGGCAGACACUGGCCACUCAGAUGACCGUGCCGAAGGAUGGACUGAAGAACUGGAAACUGGAGCUGAUUGGCUCAAGAUUCGGGAUGUUCCUCGUGGACUAAUGUGGACACUGCAGUGCCACUGCUGCCUUCCCUUGUGUGACCUUGAGGUCGUAACUAAAGAAUAACACAGGUGAAAAUGGACAGGCGCUGGUGCCAGUUUCAAAGCUAUAACCAGAUUUCUUGCAAAUUAAGGUGAUUGAAGCUUGGCAGGACUUUAAGUUGGAUUCUGAGGAGAAGUUGCAUUUAUGAUGCACACAGCAUGUGGGAAAGAUGCUCUCCUAAUUCUGUAUAAAUAUGUAUAUGUAUUUUAUAAUAUGGAACUAUUUAUGUACUUAUAUUAUUGACUUAUAUUUAUACUUCUUUGUAUACUUUUAUUUUGAUGUAGAUAUCACUACAUAGGUGUUGAUGUACAAUACAUUACAGGUGUAUUCAGCCUACAUUGGGCUAAAUUACUUUAUAGCUCUGUUUUCAUUUGAUAAAUUACUGGGGGCAUAAAGUUGAGGCUUACAAAAAUGUGCGAUUAUAAUUCUGCUGCAAAACCCCAACAAGCUCCUCAGGGACCUCAUUUAGAUCUAGUGUAGUUACAGUGGAGUCAUUUGAUCCCUUGUGGAAAAUGAUAAGUAACAGUCUGCACUUGAAAUAACUUUUACAGACACAAGGUACCAUGAAAAGUAUCGUUCUGUACUGAAAACAUGACCAGAAAAGACUAAAAUCUCUUUAGUAUGUGGACUCGUGAAUUGAGAAAAUGUUUUGUUUUUGCAAAAUAUGUAAGUCCUAUGGACAAACUACACAUUGUCGAAUGUAUUUUAUUGUAAUCCAUAUUAAACUUGACGAGUGAAAGUGAUUGG